CCCUUAGAUGUUCUGGGCCGCACGCGCGCUACACUGACGAAGUCAGCGAGCAUGUCCUACGCCGACAGGUGCGGGGAAUCUUGUCAAACUUCGUCGUGAUGGGGAUUGAUUAUUGAAAUUCUUGAUCAUCAACGAGGAAUUCCUAGUAAGCGCAAGUCAGCAGCUUGCGUUGAUUACGUCCCUGCCCUUUGUACACACCGCCCGUCGCUACUACCGAUUGAAUGGUUUAGUGAGAUCUUCGGAUUGGCGCCACUGCGGCUCAGCAAUGGGCUCGGUGGAUGCCGAAAAGUUGAUCAAACUUGAUUAUUUAGAGGAAGUAAAAGUCGUAACA
rnacentral:rRNA from 1 species